rnacentral:rRNA from 1 species
GGCUCAGGAUGAACGCUGGCGGCGUGCUUAACACAUGCAAGUCGAACGAUUAAACCGGCUCGGCCGGACAUAGAGUGGCGAACGGGUGAGUAACACGUGACCAACCUGCCCCGCGCACCGGGACAGCCUCGCGAAAGCGGGAUUAAUACCGGAUACUCCGCGGGCCCCGCAUGGGGCCCGCGGGAAAGCUCCGGCGGCGCGGGAUGGGGUCGCGGCCCAUCAGGUAGUAGGUCGGGUAAGGGCCGACCUAGCCGACGACGGGUAGCCGGGUUGAGAGACCGACCGGCCACAUUGGGACUGAGAUACGGCCCAGACUCCUACGGGAGGCAGCAGUGGGGAAUAUUGCGCAAUGGGGGCAACCCUGACGCAAGCAACGCCGCGUGCGGGAUGAAGGCCUUCGGGUUGUAAACCGCUUUCAGCAGGGAGGAUAGUGACAGUACCUGCACAAGAAGCCCCGGCUAACUACGUGCCAGCAGCAGC